rnacentral:rRNA from 1 species
GACAGAGGGUGCAAACGUUUGUUCGGAAUUACUGGGCGUAAAGCGUGUGUAGGCGGUCUCUUAAGUCGGAUGUGAAAGCCCCGGGCUCAACCCGGGAAGUGCACUCGAAACUGGGAGGCUAGAGUACUGGAGAGGUUGGUGGAAUUCUCGGUGUAGAGGUGAAAUUCGUAGAUAUCGUAAGGAAGACCAGUGGCGAAGGCGGGUCUCUGGACAGUUCCUGACGCUGAGGCACGAAGGUCAGGGGAGCAAACGGGG